UAAAGGAGACUCUCUUCUUAUCCUCUGGAGGAGGCUGAAGAGUGGCCACCUGAAGACGUCGGGUCCUAAUUCCUGGAAGCAAUAAGUUACCUAACGGAAGCAAGUUUCAAGUUAAAGAUCCUCACAUAGGGAGAUUAUCUGGAUUAUCUGGAUGAGCCAAAUCCAAUCACAAGUGUCCUCGUAAGAGAGAGAUAGAGAGACUCCAUGCACAGGGAAGAGGAGGAGGCAAGGUGACCGCGGAGGCAGAGACGGGAGCGGUGCAGCCCCAAGUCAAGGACUGCUAGCAGCCACCAGAGGCUUGAUGGGAAAGCAGUGCUGCCUUCCCUGGGCCCUCUGGAGGAAGCACCGCUCUGCCAACACCUUGAUUGUGGACUUCUGGCCUCCAGAACUGUGAAAAAUAAAUUUCUGUUGUUUUAAGCACACAGAUUAUGGUAACUUGUUACCUGCCAGAGGAACUAAUGCCCUCCAAAUUCUCAAUCCUCCUCCAUACAGUGUUUGUUAACUGCAUAUGGAAGGCUCUGAGCUUGAGUUUGGGGCUGCUGGUCACUGGUCACUGCCGUGGCUAAGCAGCAGCAGGGGAGCAGACGUUGAGGGGGUGUGACUCAGGCCUUAGGCCUGGCUGUCCUACGGAAUGGGAGAGUUUCUUAGAGAAGGUCUUCUAACCUCUGUGUCAUUGCUGACAAGAACAGCCUCCUCCCAGGCCUGGAGCACAAACUCAAGCCUAGAACGUGUGAUGGCGUUUGGCGACUUGGCUCUGUGCGGAAGUCUCUGGUUCUCUCCAGCUUGAAGAUACUUCAGCUAAUGCAGGAGGAAAAAACUCAGGAUAAUGGAAGACUCCGUUCUCGCGUUGUUACCUGAAAAUAUUAUUCAUGCUCUUCAAAGUGCUUCAUGUAAGUCGUUUAAUGUGGCGUCUUUUCAGUUGGAAGUAUGCUGAUUAUAUUGAUGGUUUCUGCUAAUGCGCGGUAAACAAACAGCGAGCGGACUGACUCAUGUCUUCGCUUCUGAUUCUUUGUCUUUAUUUUUGCAUUGACAGUUUCCUUAAAGUUCAUCUUCUUAUUUAAUAAUUGAGUAUUUAGCACCAAAUUCCGGUACAGUCCCUGACAAUGAAAAGGUUUCCUCCAUAGGACUCUAGACACUUCAGAGAGAGGGCUGGCGCCCGACUGGCUCAGGGUGCGGUUAAACAGGUAACAAAUCACAACGGAGUUGCUUUGGGUCCCGCCGGAUGUUCACAGCUGAGUUGGCCGUGACAAGAAUGCCUCACUCCACUUAAUGCCUCUGUGUUCCACUCUCUCCCCAACAGUCACACCGGGAAGAUCAUGCGGCUGCUGUGUGCUUUACAAGCAAUUUGCGGGAAAUCAAAUGAGUUAAUGCACCUGCAAUUUCUGUGAGAAGUGAAAGCAUCUCAAAGGGUAAGCCCUUCAUUUUCCUGCCUCAAGUCCACUCUUCACACUUGUUAUUAGUUUCCCUGACUGUGGGGUCCUCAACACAAACACGCCUAUGAGGAUGUGUUUUUGCAUGUGAAGUGGUGAGAAAAAGGGAAGUUAUGGCAAAAGGGACACAAGAUUUAGGACUUGCAAUACUGCCCUUGGACAAACAGCAAUUCCUUGCCAUAGCGGGUUUGUUUUGCUUGCUGCCACUUAUUUGGUUUCUCAUUAUGAAGCUUGACAGAUUUU
rnacentral:lncRNA from 1 species